UACGUAGGGGGCAAGCGUUGUCCGGAAUCAUUGGGCGUAAAGGGCGCGUAGGCGGAUAGUUAAGUCCGAUGUGAAAGACCAGGGCUCAACCCUGGGGCUGCAUCGGAAACUGGUUAUCUUGAGGACAGGAGAGGAAAGUGGAAUUCCACGUGUAGCGGUGAAAUGCGUAGAUAUGUGGAGGAACACCAGUGGCGAAGGCGACUUUCUGGACUGUAACUGACGCUGAGGCGCGAAAGCGUGGGGAGCAAACAGG
rnacentral:rRNA from 1 species